rnacentral:rRNA from 1 species
UUAGAGUUUGAUCCUGGCUCAGGACGAACGCCUGGCGGCGUGCCUAACACAUGCAAGUCGAGCGAAUGAAGUUCCUUCGGGAACGGAUUUAGCGGCGGACGGGUGAGUAACACGUGGGCAACCUGCCUCAUAGAGGGGAAUAGCCUUCCGAAAGGGAGAUUAAUACCGCAUAAGAUUGUAGUACCGCAUGGUACAGCAAUUAAAGGAGCAAUCCGCUAUGAGAUGGGCCCGCGGCGCAUUAGCUAGUUGGUGAGGUAACGGCUCACCAAGGCGACGAUCAGUAGCCGGCCUGAGAGGGUGAUCGGCCACAUUGGGACUGAGACACGGCCCAGACUCCUACGGGAGGCAGCAGUGGGGAAUAUUGCACAAUGGGGGAAACUCUGAUGCAGCGACGCCGCGUGAGCGAAGAAGGAAUUCGUUUCGUAAAGCUCUGUCCUAUGGGAAGAUAAUGACGGUACCAUAGAAGAAAGCCCCGGCUAACUACGUGCCAGCAGCCGCGGUAAUACGUAGGGGGCGAGCGUUGUCCGGAAUUAUUGGGCGUAAAGGGUUCGUAGGCGGUAAUACAUGUCAGAUGUGAAAUCUUGUGGCUUAACCACAUCAAGCAUCUGAAACUGUAUAACUUGAGUGGAGGAGAGGUAAGUGGAAUUCCUAGUGUAGCGGUGAAAUGCGUAGAUAUUAGGAAGAAUACCAGUAGCGAAGGCGACUUACUGGCCUCUAACUGACGCUGAUGAACGAAAGCGUGGGUAGCAAACAGGAUUAGAUACCCUGGUAGUCCACGCCGUAAACGAUGAGUGCUAGGUGUCGGGAGUCAAAUCUCGGUGCCGUAGUAACGCAAUAAGCACUCCGCCUGG